AAACGACUCUUGGCAAUGGAUAUCUAGGCUCUUGCAUCGAUGAAGAACGUAGCGAAAUGCGAUACUUGGUGUGAAUUGCAGAAUCCCGUGAAUCAUCGAGUCUUUGAACGCAAGUUGCGCCCAAAGCCUUCGGGCCAAGGGCACGUCUGCCUGGGCGUCAUAA
rnacentral:rRNA from 1 species